UACGAAGGGGGCUAGCGUUGCUCGGAAUCACUGGGCGUAAAGGGUGCGUAGGCGGGUUAUUAAGUCAGGGGUGAAAUCCUGGAGCUCAACUCCAGAACUGCCUUUGAUACUGAGGAUCUUGAGUUCGGGAGAGGUGAGUGGAACUGCGAGUGUAGAGGUGAAAUUCGUAGAUAUUCGCAAGAACACCAGUGGCGAAGGCGGCUCACUGGCCCGAUACUGACGCUGAGGCACGAAAGCGUGGGGAGCAAACAGGGAUUAGAAUCCACCGUA
rnacentral:rRNA from 1 species